AGUUGUGGAUGAUGAUACCAAAGUAAAAUACAGUUAUCCCUGGCUUAUUCCUUUUAAAAGGGUGCUGAGAACAUUAUUCUGACACAACU
rnacentral:snoRNA from 1 species